ensembl:lncRNA
UUUUUUUUUUUUCCCUGUCUAGGAGCAGCACUCUAGUCAGCAGAGUGAGGAGCUGACUAGAAGGUGUACCUUGGAUCAUAACAAAAGGCACAUCCCUCCUUAAACGUUUACCUUAAAAGUAACACAGAUCUGCAAUACUUAUAUUUGUCAUUACUGUGGAUUCUGGUACUCUGUUCAUUGCUAAAAUACAGUAUCCUCUCUGAAAGAACAACACAAUUUAGUAACAUUUAUUUUGGGAUAAUCAACAGAUUAGUCAUCUAAAAUGCUAGCCACAAGCAGCUAUAACUCAGCUGCAAAAAAGUAAGUGUAAUCUUAAUCUAUAUUAAUAGAAGUGUAAUUUCAUAAUGAAGUAAAUAAAACCCAGGGAAGGAAAAUGUCACUAUAAUCUGGGAGAGGGGUGGGAGUAAAGAAGGGUAAGAAGAAAAAGUCAGACAAUAGAGGUGUUCAGAUGGGAGGACUUUAUUGAAGAAAUAGCAUAAUGGGAGACAGUGUGGGGAUUCUGGAGGCGGCACUGGGAUUCUGGGCCUUGGAGCUGAGGAGAGAUAUGCCUGACUUGAAGGAAAAGUCUUAAUGACUUCAAGGAUGGGUCAUGCACCCAAAAUUUAAAAGAGGAAUUAGCUAAUGGUUGUGAGGUGCUUUGCCCUUUACAAAUUACUUUCAUAUUGAUGAUGUAUUUAAUCCAUCCACCUGCUGAUACAGCAUCUAUUAUUCUCAUUUUAAAAAUGGAAACUGGAGUUCCCUUUGUGGCUCAGUGGUUAAUAAGCCCAACUAGGAACCAUGAGGUUGAGGGUUCCAUCCCUGGCCUCGCUCCGUGGGUUAAGGAUCUGACUGUGGUGUAAGUUGCAGACACAGCUCAGAUCCUGCAUUGCUGUGGCAGUGGUGUAGGCCAGCAGCUAUAGCUCCAAUUCAACCCCUAGCCUGGGAACCUCCAAAUGCCGUGGAUGCGGCCCUAAAUUUUUUUUUUUUUUUUUUUGUCUUUUUGCCAUUUUCUUGGGCCGCUCUCACAACAUAUGGAGCGGCCCAAGAAAUGGCAAAAAGACAAAAAGAAAAAGAUAAGUGCUUUGGAAAGGAAAAAAAACAAGGUCUCUGCUAAAAUCACCACACAGCUCUCCCAUAACUGCUGCCCACACCACCAAGAAACGCAGUAUCAAAAAUCAACACUUAUUAAGAAUAAACCACAACAGCUGAACAGGUAAGAAUCAUGAGGAUCCCCAUGUGAGCCACCAAAAUAAUUAUGUCUAGUUUUUUUUAAAGCUGUACUGCAGGUAGGGAAAAGCAUCUUGAUAUCAUAGACGGGGAAAUGAUUUUACUAAGCUCAUCAUAUAUGUGGUAGGCAAUCCAUAGGCAUUUUACUUUUAUAGGGCAGUGGGUAAAUAUUCCCAGAAAAACUGAAUAGCAUUUGAAUAUGAUUUCACCUAUACAGCUGACAUAUUUCCCUUUUUGAGCUCCCUUGUUCUGUGUGAUUUGGCCUUCAAUAACAGAUGAAAAUAUAUUUAUGAAAAGUCAUAAAUGAUAUUAAUAUUUUGCUGAUAUUCUUCUUCAGAAUGAAGACAGCUUAUGUCAUACUGCAUUUGGUUUACUGAUUUUAAAAACUGCAAAAUAAAGACCUAAGAAAUAAUUAGCUCAGCAAUUCCUGACCUCAAUUUAGUAAUGCAGGCUUUGUACCCAUCUCACACUAGGAUAUCUGC